UCAGCAGCCGCGGUAAUACAGAGGGUGCAAGCGUUGCUCGGAUUUACUGGGCGUAAAGCGUACGCAGACGGCAAGGUAGGUCGAAUGUGAAAGCCCCGGGCUCAACCCGGGAAUUGCAUCCGAAACCCCCUUGCUCGAGUAUGGGAGAGGGAAGCGGAAUUCCUGGUGUAGAGGUGAAAUUCGUAGAUAUCAGGAGGAACAUCAGCGGCGAAGGCGGCUUCCUGGCCCAUUACUGACGUUCAGGUACGAAAGCGUGGGUAGCAAACAGGAUUAGAUACCCUGGUAGUCCACGCUGUAAACGAUGUGUGCUGGGUGUCGGGGGUAUCAACUCCCUCGGUAUCGAAGUUAACGCGAUAAGCACACCGCCUGGGGAGUACGGCCGCAAGGUUGAAACUUAAAGGAAUUGGCGGGGGAC
rnacentral:rRNA from 1 species